rnacentral:rRNA from 1 species
CAGUAGCCGCGGUAAUACGAAGGGGGCUAGCGUUGCUCGGAAUUACUGGGCGUAAAGGGAGCGUAGGCGGACAUUUAAGUCAGGGGUGAAAUCCCAGAGCUCAACUCUGGAACUGCCUUUGAUACUGGGUGUCUUGAGUGUGAUAGAGGUAUGUGGAACUCCGAGUGUAGAGGUGAAAUUCGUAGAUAUUCGGAAGAACACCAGUGGCGAAGGCGACAUACUGGAUCAUUACUGACGCUGAGGCUCGAAAGCGUGGGGAGCAAACAGGAUUAGAUACCCCGGUAGUCCCUGUCUCUUAUAC